rnacentral:lncRNA from 1 species
CCAUGUGACCCAAGACAGCCAGAACAAACAACCUCAAGGCCUGAUGUGAGGGCUGACAGCUGAGAGCUGCUUUCUCUGUCUGCUUCAGCCCUACACCGAGGCAUCAAAGCUGCAGUGCCCGUGGAUUAUGACCACAGGGGAGCUGUGUUGCGUCUGCAAAUCUCUGUUGUGCAUCAAGGGCACAUCUGAACAGAGCCACUGUGGACCCUGAAGAGCUGGAGAAGACGUUGCAGAGGUUCGGAGGCACACCGUGAUGGUGGGAGCCAUUCCACGGCAGCCACGCCGCUUCUGGGGGGUGCCUGACUGGCAGGCGUCUUCAGCCAGCUGUGCCAACGACCGCCUGCUGCGGGGCAGGGAGGCUAACCCAGAGACAAGCAGGGAUGCUGUGCUGCAGAGCAUCUCAUAGUAGAGGGCUCACACAGAAAUCCUGAGUGAGAGGGGGCCCAGCUCCCAGCCUCAGCCCUUGCACCCUGACCUGUGGCACUUUACAGUCCCCCUCCUGCUGCUGCAUGGGCUCCGCUUGGA